rnacentral:rRNA from 1 species
UACGAAGGGGGCUAGCGUUGCUCGGAAUUACUGGGCGUAAAGCGCACGUAGGCGGCUUUCUAAGUCGGGGGUGAAAUCCUGGAGCUCAACUCCAGAACUGCCUUCGAUACUGGAGAGCUCGAGUCCGGGAGAGGUGAGUGGAACUGCGAGUGUAGAGGUGAAAUUCGUAGAUAUUCGCAAGAACACCAGUGGCGAAGGCGGCUCACUGGCCCGGUACUGACGCUGAGGCGCGAAAGCGUGGGGAGCAAACAGGG